GCCCCGGUAGCUCAGCUGGAUAGAGCGACGGCCUUCUAAGCCGUAGGUCACAGGUUCGAACCCUGUCCGGGGUACCA
rnacentral:tRNA from 1 species